UGAGGAAUAUUGGACAAUGGAUGGAAAUCUGAUCCAGCCAUGCCGCGUGCAGGACGACGGCCCUAUGGGUUGUAAACUGCUUUUGUAUGGGAGCAAUAAGGUCUAUGCGUAGACUGAUGAGAGUACCAUACGAAUAAGCAUCGGCUAACUCCGUGCCAGCAGCCGCGGUAAUACGGGGGAUGCAAGCGUUAUCCGGAUUUAUUGGGUUUAAAGGGUGCGUAGGCGGUUUGAUAAGUCAGCGGUGAAAUAUUUCAGCUUAACUGAAAGGGUGCCGUUGAUACUGUCAGGCUUGAAUAUGGUUGCUGUGGGUGGAAUGUGUGGUGUAGCGGUGAAAUGCUUAGAUAUCACACAGAAUAUCGAUUGCGAAGGCAGCUCACGAAGCGAUUAUUGACGCUGAUGCACGAAGCGUGGGGAGCAAACA
rnacentral:rRNA from 1 species